rnacentral:misc_RNA from 1 species
GAUGAAGAACGCAGCGAAAUGCGAUACGUAAUGUGAAUUGCAGAAUUCAGUGAAUCAUCGAGUCUUUGAACGCACAUUGCGCCCCCUGGUAUUCCGGGGGGCAUGCCUGUCCGAGCGUCAUUGCUGCCCUCAAGCACGGCUUGUGUGUUGGGCCCCCGCCCCCCGGGGACACGCCCCAAAGGCAGUGGCGGCGCCGCGUCGGGUCCUCGAGCGUAUGGGGCUUUGUCACCCGCUCGGGACGGACUCGUCGGCGCUGGUCUUCCUCCAGGCGACCCUUCGGGGCUCGUCUUCCUUCGGUUGACCUCGGAUCAGGUAGGGUUACCCGCUGAACUUAAGCAUAUCAAUAAGCGGAGGA